AUUAUUAUAGUUUAAUAAAAACAAUAUCUUUUCAUGAUAUAAAUAAUAUAAAAUAUUUUAUAAUA
rnacentral:tRNA from 1 species